UACGUAGGGACCAAGCGUUGUUCGGAUUUACUGGGCGUAAAGGGCGCGUAGGCGGCGUGUUAAGUCAGUUGUGAAAUCUCCAAGCUUAACUUGGAACGGUCAACUGAUACUGAUGUGCUAGAGUGCAGAAGGGGCAACCGGAAUUCUUGGUGUAGCGGUGAAAUGCGUAGAUAUCACGAGGAACACCUGAGGUGAAGACGGGUUGCUGGGCUGACACUGACGCUGAGGCGCGAAAGCUAGGGUAGCAAACGGG
rnacentral:rRNA from 1 species